rnacentral:tRNA from 1 species
GUGGAUGUGGUGGAGUGGUUAUCGGGCAUGACUAGAAAUCUUGUGGGUUCUGCCUGUGCAAGUUCGAAACUUGCCAUUCACA